rnacentral:rRNA from 1 species
UACGUAGGGGGCAAGCGUUGUCCGGAUUUAUUGGGCGUAAAGAGCGUGUAGGCGGCCAUACAGGUCAGCUGUGAAAACUCGAGGCUCAACCUCGAGACGCCGGUGGAAACCAUCUAGCUAGAGUCCGGAAGAGGAGAGUGGAAUUCCUGGUGUAGCGGUGAAAUGCGCAGAUAUCAGGAAGAACACCCGUGGCGAAGGCGGCUCUCUGGUACGUGACUGACGCUGAGACGCGAAAGCGUGGGGAGCGAACAGG